AUCUUAUGUCUACUUUUAGAUGUAAGUGGAUUGAACCCAUUUAGAAAGGUGAAAGAAGGUUGGGAGGAAAAAGAAAAGCCAUUUGGCUUCUCAGAGUAAGACUGGGUCAGACUGUGGCAUUGUCCUUCAGCUGUGACAUCUUAGAGUGGGAGAUGUCCAGGGGAAGUUGCAAAGUCAAGAGGAUAUCAAAGCUGCAGACGGUGGCAUUACACAAAGAUUUAACAACUAUUCAGAGCCUAAUUAUCCUGCAGUGUGGAGAAGGAAGGAUUUGCAAGAUAGCCA
rnacentral:lncRNA from 1 species